rnacentral:lncRNA from 1 species
GCGAACAAGUGUAUUUGUACUUUUCGCAAUACUAGUACUACUUACACUCUCUAAACAUCAAGGGUACAUGCAAUAUAUAUUGCGACCCGUUACUUUUGAAAUGUAAAUAAAACACUAAAAUAUGUAUAUGCACUUUUUUUAUGAAGAAAAGACACCCAAAGGACAUCUAAAUACGUAUAUGCACUUGCUAAAACUAGCAACAAACCAAAAAUUAAAAUAAAAACAAUAAUAAUGAAAAUAAUAAUAAAACAAGAAAUCAGCAAAAAGCAAAAAAAAAAACACACCAUCCAAGCCAAAGUCUAUUACCUAAAUAAUAGAUAAAUAAUUAGGUAUCAAAACCACCUAGUAGAAAGUCCAUUGACCAAAAUACAAGAGUAAAAAAAGAAACUAAAAAUAAGAAGCAUGGAAAGAAAAUGACCAAUGAGUCGAAAAAACAGACCGGCUAUAUGGCAGCAGCUGAGUUUUUUGGCGUAUGUGGAUUCCACACGUCCAUUUCGUGCAUCAGAAAGGUGUAACAGCUCCCAGGUCCGUAGGCACCCUCUAUGAACAGUAAAUACCAAAAAUAUAAAAAAAUUCAAAAAAUAUCGGAAACUUUGCAAUGACCAAACUUUGUAGGUUCUUGCAAGUUUUCAUGCCAAAAUAUCAUGUAGAGAAAAGUGUACAAAUGAGUUUCAGAUUUUAGUGCUAAAAGUACUUGAAACUUCAAGCACCAAAAUCUUUUUCAUGUGUAGAGCUCCUCGAAUGGUUUUUUGGCAUGAAAACUUGCAUGCACCUACAAAGUUUGAUCAUCUUUGAUGUUGCAAAGUUUCAGUUUUUUUUUGAUUUUACUGUUCAUAGAGGGUGCUUAGGCACCCGGGAACCGAAAAACCACUCUCUGUUUUCAUGCAUUUUUAGUCCUCCCUUUGCUUCCUCCUU